AUACGUAGGUGACAAGCGUUGUCCGGAAUUAUUGGGCGUAAAGCGCAUGUAGGCGGUUUGGUAAGUCGGUCGUGAAAAUGCGGUGCUUAACGCCGUAUGGCGAUUGAAACUGCUGAACUUGAGUGCAGGAGAGGAAAGGGGAACUCCCAGUGUAGCGGUGAAAUGCGGAGAUAUUGGGAAGAACACCGGUGGCGAAGGCGCCUUUCUGGACUGUGUCUGACGCUCAGAUGCGAAAGCCAGGGUAGCGAACGGGAUUAGAUACCCCGGUAGUCCUGGCCGUAAACGAUGGGUACUAGGUGUGGGAGGUAUCGACUCCUUCCGUGCCGGAGUUAACGCAAUAAGUACCCCGCCUGGGGAGUACGGCCGCAAGGCUUAAACUCAAAGGAAUUGACGGGG
rnacentral:rRNA from 1 species